CCUACGGGGGGCAGCAGUGAGGAAUAUUGGUCAAUGGUCGGGAGACUGAACCAGCCAAGCCGCGUGAGGGAUGAAGGUACAGAGUAUCGUAAACCUCUUUUGUCAGGGAACAAAGGCGGGGACGUGUCCCCGGAUGAGUGUACCUGAAGAAAAAGCAUCGGCUAACUCCGUGCCAGCAGCCGCGGUAAUACGGAGGAUGCGAGCGUUAUCCGGAUUUAUUGGGUUUAAAGGGUGCGCAGGCGGUCUGUUAAGUCAGCGGUAAAAGCCCGGGGCGCAACCCCGGCCCGCCGUUGAAACUGGCAGUCUCGAGUUGGAGAGAAGUAUGCGGAAUGCGCGGUGUAGCGGUGAAAUGCAUAGAUAUCGCGCAGAACUCCGAUUGCGAAGGCAGCAUGCCGGCUCCACACUGACGCUGAGGCACGAAAGCGUGGGUAUCGAACAGGAUUAGAUACCCUAGUAGUC
rnacentral:rRNA from 1 species